rnacentral:tRNA from 1 species
CGGUAUAGCUCAGCUGGUAGAGCAUCUCAUUCGUAAUGAGAGGGUCGUUGGUUCGAGUCCAAUUAUCGG